rnacentral:rRNA from 1 species
ACUACGAGUUUGAUCCUGGCUCAGAUUGAACGCUGGCGGCAUGCUUAACACACGCAAGUCGAACGCGAAAGUCCUUCGGGGCGAGUAGAGUGGCGGACGGGUGAGUAACGCGUGGGAAUCUACCCUAGAGCGGGGGACAACCCGGGGAAACCCGGGCUAAUACCGCAUACGUCCUACGGGAGAAAGAGGGCCUCUGCUUGCACGCUCUCACUCCAGGAUGAGCCCACGUCCGAUUAGCUAGUUGGUAGGGUAAAGGCCUACCAAGGCCACGAUCGGUAGCUGGUCUGAGAGGAUGAUCAGCCACACUGGGACUGAGACACGGCCCAGACUCCUACGGGAGGCAGCAGUGGGGAAUAUUGGACAAUGGGCGCAAGCCUGAUCCAGCAAUGCCGCGUGUGUGAAGAAGGCCUGCGGGUUGUAAAGCACUUUCAGUGAGGAAGAACAGAUUCGGGUCAAUACCCCGGAGCCCUGACGUUACCCACAGAAGAAGCACCGGCUAACUCCGUG